rnacentral:rRNA from 1 species
CACUUCUAAGGAAGGCAGCAGGCGCGCAAAUUACCCAAUCCUGACUCAGGGAGGUAGUGACAAGAAAUAACAAUAAACCGGCUUAUGCCGGUUUAAUUGGAAUGAGUACAAUUUAAACAUCUUAACGAGGAACAAUUGGAGGGCAAGUCUGGUGCCAGCAGCCGCGGUAAUUCCAGCUCCAAUAGCGUAUACUAAAGUUGUUGCAGUUAAAAAGCUCGUAGUUGGAUUUCUGUGGGGACGGAGCGGCCGGCCGCAACUCGCGGUUCGAGCUAGCGCUUUCCCUACAUCCUGCCGCGAACCGUGCUACCAUUAGUUUGGUGGCGCCGGGGAUCGGCUCGAUUACUUUGAGAAAAAUAGAGUGUUCAAAGCAGGCCACACGCCUUGAAUAAGUUAGCGUGGAAUAAUAACUAAGGACUUCGGUUCUAUUUUGUUGGUGUUCGGGACUGAAGUAAUGAUUGAUAGGGACAGUUGGGGCGGUCUGUAUUCCAAAGCGAGAGGUGAAAUUCUUAGACCUUCGGAAGACAAACAGCUGCGAAAGCGUUCCGCAAGGAUGUUCCCUUUGAUCAAGAACGAAAGUUGGGGGAUCGAAGACGAUCAGAUACCGUCGUAGUCUCAACUAUAAACUAUACCAGCUAGGGAUCGGCCAACGUUAUUUAAACCGACUUGGUCGGCACCUUAUGAGAAAUCAAAGCAUCUGGGUUCCGGGGGGAGUAUGGUCGCAAGGCUGAAACUUAAAGGAAUUGACGGAAGGGCACCACCAGCCGUGGAGCCUGUGGCUUAAUUUGACUCAACACGGGAAAACUUACCAGGUCCAGACAUAGUAAGGAUUGACAGAUUGAUAGCUCUUUCUUGAUUCUGUGGGUGGUGGUGCAUGGCCGUUCUUAGUUGGUGGAGUGAUUUGUCUGGUUAAUUCCGUUAACGAACGAGACCCCAGCCUGCUAAAUAGCGCGCGUGAGCUUUGCUCGCAGCGAGCUUCUUAGAGGGACUAUGAUGCGCGAUAGCACAUGGAAGUUUGGGGCAAUAACAGGUCUGUGAUGCCCUUAGAUGUUCUGGGCCGCACACGGGCUACACUGGCGCCUGCAACGAGCAUAUCAGCUGGCCCGAGAGGGUCUUGGCUAAUCUUUUGAACCGGCGCCGUGCUUGGGAUUGACCUUUGCAAUUGUUGGUCAUGCAACGAGGAAUGCCUUGUAAACGCGAGUCAUCAGCUCGCAUUGAAUACGUCCCUGCCCUUUGUACACACCGCCCGUCGCUCCUACCGAUGAAUGUUCCGAUGAAAUUUUCGGAGAGUGCCUGUGAACUUGGCUCUGCCUUGCGAACGGGAAGCUCAAAGUCACUUAAAUCUGAACAUU